rnacentral:tRNA from 1 species
CAGGGAAUAGUUUAUUUAAAAUUUUAAUUUUGGAGAUUAAAGAUAAAGAAUCUCUUUUUCUCUGAUGUUUUAAAAGAAUUUCUUAU